UCCCUGGUGGCUCAGAUGGUAAAGCGUCCACCUACAGUGUGGGAGACCCGGGUUCAAUCCCUGGGUGAGGAA
rnacentral:tRNA from 1 species